GACGAACGCUGGCGGCGUGCUUAACACAUGCAAGUCGAACGGAAAGGCCCCUUUGGGGGUACUCGAGUGGCGAACGGGUGCGUAACACGUGAGUAACCUGCCCUUGCCUUCGGGAUAACUUCAGGAAACUGGGGCUAAUACCGGAUAGGAAUCCUUGCUGCAUGGUGGGGGUUGGAAAGCUUCGGCGGUUUUGGAUGGACUCGCGGCUUAUCAGCUUGUUGGUGGGGUAGUGGCUUACCAAGGCUUUGACGGGUAGCCGGCCUGAGAGGGCGACCGGCCACAUUGGGACUGAGAGACGGCCCAGACUCCUACGGGAGGCAGCAGUGGGGAAGAUUGCACAAGCGGCGGAAGCCUGAUGCAGCAACGCCGCGUGCGGGAUGACGGCCUUCGGGUUGUAAACCGAUUUCAGCAGGGGCGAAGCUUGUGGUGACGGUACCUGCAGAAGAAGCACCGGCUAACUACGUG
rnacentral:rRNA from 1 species